rnacentral:misc_RNA from 1 species
GAUGAAGAACGCAGCGAAAUGCGAUAAUUAAUGUGAAUUGCAGAAUUCCGUGAAUCAUCGAGUCUUUGAACGCACAUUGCGCCUCAUGGCAUUCCGUGAGGCAUGCCCAUCUCAGCGUUAGAAAAUAUUCUCAAAUUUUAGUUUUGUGCUAAAAUUUGGAUCAUGUCAAAGAAGCUAUUACUAUUAUUGUGAUCGCUCUUUGGAAAUUGAUAGGUCUUUGAGUUGCUACUCAUAGAACGUGAUGAAUCUUUCUUCGUUCUAUUGUAAUUCACUCUGGUAGUCCUAAAACUUGUAUGCCUGUGUCAUAUCUUGUAAUUUGACCUGAGAUUGGGUAGGGAUACCCGCUGAACUUAAGCAUAUCAAUAAGCGGAGGA